rnacentral:tRNA from 1 species
CCGACCUUAGCUCAAUUGGUGAGGGUACCGCAAUACCAAUCUGGAAGUCGCGGGUUCGAAUCCCGUCGAA